rnacentral:sRNA from 1 species
UGAAUGCAGGUUAAACGAGGUCCUUUA